rnacentral:lncRNA from 1 species
CUUGCUUUCCAGAUCUAAUCUAGGAUACCUAGAUUUUGUCAUAUUUAAAGAUCUACUGCAGCUAAGAAAUAGACAAGAUGACCUUUUUACAGGUAAAUGCACUGGAGAGGAACAAUGAGGUCAAAUAAGUGCUAGAAGCAAAAGUGUCUCAGUUGUGAUUCUGCCACUGCUUGGAUUUUCACUGUGAAACUCAAGAAAACAUACUUCUGUAUAAAACUCCAAGAGCCUAUCCUGACCUAGAAUUAUUCAGAAGCGCUGGCGUACUUUCAAGGUACAUCAAAUUAUAAUACAGAUAAGAUGUUCCUAUACCAAAGAACAUUAAGCUUUUGACUGUUCUUCAAGCUACAAAUAAUAAUGUCCCAUGUUAUCUCAUUUUAAAAUGAGUUGUAAUUAAUUAUUUAAGCUUAGAAAUAUUUAUAUAGAGAGACCAUUCUGUGAUUCUAUGAUAAAUAACGCGUGAAAACUUCUGACAUUUUGUGUAGCAAGGGAAAGUGAUACGCAAACGUAUUAGCUAGUUGUGCUUCAUACUG